UGUUGUGAGCGUGCUUCAGAUCUCCGGAGAUAGCACGGUACGCUGUGUCCAGCCCAGAGGUGAAAGCCAUCCAAAGCAGAGUAACUGUGCUUUGUGUCCAAGUUGAUACCUGUGGAGAGGAAAGGAAAGAGAGAUUGAUACCUGUGGAGAGGAAAGGAAAGAGAGAGUGAGUAACACAAGGAGAACCAGAGGGAACCUGUACUUACAGUACGCUGUGUUCAGCCCAGAGGUGAGAGCCAUUCAAAGCAAACUAACUGUGCUAUUGUGCCUAAGUUGAUACCUGUGGAGAGAAAAGGAGAGAGAGUGGGUAACACGAGGAGAGACCGAGGAAACCUGUACUUACGCCGCUGCCUGUGGAGAAAGAGAAAGCGACCGUUGCCUGUGGAGGAAGAGAAAGAGAGUGAGCACCUCGAGAACGAACUGUGUGAACCAUACUUACUGUGAGCUGCAAUCAGCGAAGAGGAAGAAGGAGGGCGCUACGGAUACCUAAGACUCAGGCCGGGGCCCGAGUCCCACGCCCCGGAUCCCCGUGGCCCCCUUGCUCCCUGACCUCUUCCCGGCCAUAGCCCAUCUGGAGGGCCGAGUCAGAGUUUAGUUUUAAUUGCCCUUUCCCUAUUCCCCAAGCUAUUUUUAAAUAUUUAAAUAAAGAUUGUUUUAUCACUUACUUGUUCUCGUGUUGUUUGGCCAUUGGGUUGGCUUUGGGGACCUCCUCGAGGUGGAAGUUGAGAAGGGGUGUGGCUUAGUCAAAGCAUAGCCAGCCCCUGGGUGUGACACCUACACU
ensembl:lncRNA